GUCAAAUGUACGGUUAAAGGGUUAUUGCGCAUUUUUUGCCGAUCCGCACACAUUGGAAUUUCGCUAACUCCUCCGAAGGCUUUCGUUCCACCGGCACCACAUUUGCUCAGGCCAAUCUACACCCCAUGGCCAUUAAAAGUUAUUCAAAUCAUGAUGCUGCACCCCACGGUUUAGGUUCUAGGGGGCGCCAAAGAUAACCCUAAAAUCCACAUAUUUCAAAGUCUUAUAACUUUUUAUUUUUGCCCUCACUGGCCUCCAAGUUUUCUAGGAUGAUGCAAUGUCCAGCCAUCAACACAUUUGUGAAGGAAUUUUUACUCCCCAAAAGAGCGCCCCCCAUGGCAGGAGAAAAAAGUCCAUUUUUUCUUGUCCCAUAAGGUGAAAAUUCACACUAUUGACUGUCACGCCUGUACGCUUUGUCAAAAUUACACAAAAAUUGACACACACAUGUAUCUCAAUAAGAUCUACAAAAAAGUCAAUGCUGGCGUAUCUGUCAAAUGUACGGUUAAAGGGUUAUUGCGCAUUUUUUGCCGAUCCGCACACAUUGGAAUUUCGCUAACUCCUCCGAAGGCUUUCGUUCCACCGGCACCACAUUUGCUCAGGCCAAUCUACACCCCAUGGCCAUUAAAAGUUAUUCAAAUCAUGACGCUGCACCCCACGGUUUAGGUUCUAGGGGGCGCCAAAGAUAACCCUAAAAUCCACAUAUUUAAAAGUCUUAUAACUUUUUAUUUUUGUCCUCUCUGGCCUCCAAGUUUUCUAGGAUGAUGCAAUGUCCAGCC
rnacentral:lncRNA from 1 species